UUAAAUUAUAUGGAAAGAAUGCUGUAAAGGAAGGUGAAUCCUUCAUCUUCAAGUACUUCUAUGUUUUAACUCUUUUGCACCUGUCUAGUCCUACAUCCAGCAUCAUUAGCUAAAAGCAAUCUCAGAGGGACUCCUUCCAGCUGCCAAGGAGAUUCCUCACCAGUCUCCUGAACCUCCUUUUUGAAGCCCAAGCUCUCCAGUGGGCAAGGAUCUCCCCCGGCUUCACAUCACCUGAAUUCAGACAAACCUCCCAAAACAAGUCUUUGCCAACAAAAGCAGUAUUUUCCAGGCAGGAUUUAGGUGCUGCAGAAAGGUGAGUUCAGGAUACCCUGGGGUUGAAUAAAGGACUUUGGCCUGCCUCUUGGGGAAGCCCUUUUCCUAAGACAUGGGCUGGUACAGUACAUUCAGAAGGAGGUACCUACUUCCUAUUUGUUUUCUAUGGGACUGGCAGUUCCUCCAACUAUUUCUGCAAAGGGCUGCCCAAACUCACGUCUUCUCAAGAUUUGAUCUAAAUAUAUUGUUUACCAACAAUAAGUAAACUAAGCCCAGAUCUUCAUUCUUCUUCUCCCCAUCUUGGGAAGCAUAAGCUCUGUACUAUUUUCGCUCUGUACUGUUUUCCCUCUUCCUCUGCCAUUUUGUCAGAACUGGGCAGAGACAUGUGACUUGAAGAAUGCUUUUUUCAGUGAUGCUCUCACUGAGGUAAAAAUUUAGUUCUAAAUAACACAACCAGAGCUAAUGCAAAUAAUGAAGUAUAUUCCAGUCUUGUUCCUUUGGUAGACUCCUGCAUCAGUGUUUUUCAGUAACAAGAAUCAUGAAGCGAAAAAAACUUGGGAUCAAACAACAAAUAAGUAAUACGUUAUUUAUUGCUCUCUACAGAUACAAGCUGAAAUCUGAAAAGAAGGAUUUGGUAUCAGAAUGUAUAUUUAUUUUUGAUGGAAGGACUAGCUUUGGAAAGAGUCAGCUGUAUAUUCCUUGUUUUCUGCUUAAGAAAAACGUCAUAUGAUUGCACAAGGGCAGGUGAGGCCAAACUUACCCGCUGCUCACUGAUCACGGAGUAAGGAAGUGCUGAAAACAAGACUCCCAACUUGACCUCCAUAAGCAUUCUAAUUCACUGCUAUCAACCUGUGUGCACUUGGGGCCAUUGGCAGCACUGAGGAGAAUAAUCCAUUGAACCUCGAGGUUGGUAGAUGUGAACAUUUUUGUGUCAUGGUCCAACCCAGCUGCCUGUUGCCCUACAUGUUGUGCAAACAAAUACCUUGGGUAAUAUAAAACCAGACAUUAAAAUAAUGAAUGAGUACUGAAUGGAGAAAACCGUGUGACUUUUUCAAUCCUUUUUUGUCCCUACU